rnacentral:rRNA from 1 species
AUUGAACGCUGGCGGCAGGCUUAACACAUGCAAGUCGAGCGGGGACUUAGGUCCUAGCGGCGCACGGGUGAGGAAUGCUUGGGAAUCUGCCAAGUAGCGGGGGAUAACGUUUCGAAAGGAACGCUAAUACCGCAUACGCCUUACGGGGGAAAGGGGGGGACCUCCGGACCUCUCACUAUUGGAUGAGCCAAAGUCGGAUUAGCUAGUUGGUGGGGUAAAGGCCUACCAAGGCGACGAUCCGUAGCUGGUCUGAGAGGAUGAUCAGCCACACUGGAACUGAGACACGGUCCAGACUCCUACGGGAGGCAGCAGUGGGGAAUAUUGGACAAUGGGCGAAAGCCUGAUCCAGCCAUGCCGCGUGUGUGAAGAAGGCCUUCGGGUUGUAAAGCACUCUAAGCGAGGAGGAAUGGCUCUUGGUUAAUAACCUUGAGCAGUGACGUUACUCGCAGAAUAAGCACCGGCUAACUCUGUGCCAGCAGCCGCGGUAA